CCGGGCCCGCCGCGGGCGGCUCUGGGACGCUGUCGUUAGCUCCGGCGCGUUGGCCCCGGCUGGUCUCGGCGCGCCCCGCCCGCGACCGGGUGGCCGGGAGGGCAGCCCCUCGCUUGUCCUCUACGCGGGCCAGUCAGCCGUCCUUUCUGCCCCUGGGCCCGCAGCACUUCGCCCUUAGCGGGGCAGGUGUCUCCUAAGAGAAUGGGUGGGGUGGCCGGAUCUGCCCCCUAGGUGAUGGGGGAUGCUGGACUCGAGGACCCUGGCUUUUUGGUGUUUCGCACGCCAUAAAUUAUUCGUUUCUUUGUGUUCUCACGGUUCACCUGCUAGAUUGGCAACCCCAGGGAAAGCAAGGCCGGGAUGUUGCUGCAAGUUUCUGCCGCUCCCCGAGUGAAAUGUUUUCCCCUCCUGUGGCUGCGCCCCCACCCACUCGUUCUUACAGUUUUAAGCAGGGGCUGCUAGCAACAGCGCUUAGCUCAAUGUGAGGGUGCAGAGAAUAUCUGCCACCCUCCUCUUCCCUUCCCCCAUCACUUAAUUUCACAAAGUCGCUUAAGUAUUCAGAAUUCAUACUUCAGUACUUACUGAUACAUUCUGAAUUACUUUAAUCCAGCUUUAUCUGUUCCAUCCCCUCUUAUCCUUUAAGCCAGUCAUGCCCCCUUUAAAUUUUUUAACCUGCACAUGAUUUAGUAUCAGUUCUUUUUAGUUGAAUAAACAUUCAUUGCAGACCUGGUCCAUUCCCUCAUAGUUGAUUUCUCUACAAGAUUCCUUGGCAUAUUGAGAAAUGGAAUGUUAUGGAUGCUGGACAGAAUGUCCAUUUGCCAUCUGUUACUUAACAAAAUAUAUCACCCUAUCUAUUCUUGUUUUAGUGUGUCUGUCCAAUUUAAAUUAGAAACAAACCAAGGAGCCAUGGUGUUUCAGACGGUACUUGGUAGCUUUGGUAACCCAGUAAAUGUUUACCAAUUAGAAAACUAAACAAGCAAGGCAGUUAAGCCCAAGUAUUUUUUUUUUACCACAAAUCUUGAAAGAAGUAAUGAUGAAUAUGUUUAUUUUCAUGUAUUGGAAGUUUUAAAGCUGUUUUAUACUCCUUGAAGGCUGCCUACCAUUUAAUCAAUGGGAUACUUUGUACAAGUAGUACCAGAAUAGUAAGUUAAAUGGAUUUAUGGAACAGUAUUCAUACAUAAUAUAAUCCUUGAGAAUGUAUCAACAUGUUGAACAUUUAAGAACAGAUAGGGCAAUGGCUUGAAAGGAGGUUUUGAGUAAAGAGGCUGUGCAAAGUGGAAAUGGUCUUGUACUCUGUACAUUGUCAUAUUUUCCAGAGGUGCCUUUUCCUGCUUGUCUUCUUGAAAGCUGGAGGGAUUUCCUACUCUUCACUAAGGCAACAUAGAUAUAUUAAAAAACAAAUAUUUAUUGAACAUCUCCACUUGAAUCCCCAUGGGUACCUCAAACUCGGCCUGUCCAAGACAGGAUUUCUCUUUUCCUCUAAGCUUGUGUGUCUCAUUCACCCAGGCCCAAGCCAGAAAUCGAGGAUUCUUACCAAGCACCCUCCUUUCAGUCACUUCCAAUUCAUAAUUAAGCAUCCCUGUUAAACAUUCCUGCACUCUCCCUUCUAUACUCUCCUUCGGCCUUUAAGGCAGUGAUUUCUACUUUGCACAUUAGAAUCCCCUGAGGAGCUUUAAAAAAACCCUGAUGCCCAGGCUGCCCCUGCCAAUUAAGUUAGUAUCUCUGAGGUUGGCACUCAAGCAUCAGGAUAUUUUUUUUUAACUCUCCAGGUGAUUCUAGUGGUUGAAAACUAUUGCUAGGGCCUCAUCAUUAUUCACCAGAUUACUGCAAAGGCAUAAUAAUUGGCCCUAGGUGCCUUGAAUUUUGGCAGCAUUGUCCCUUCUUUCCCUACUGUCUUCUAAUUCAUUCAAAAUCAAUUCAAUAAAUAUUUAUUGAGUGCCUAUUAUGGGGGGGUCCCAAUAUAGCAAUGAAAAAGAUAGCCCUUGUAUCUGGUCUCAUAGUCUGGGGGAGUGGGGUGGCACAGUUGGGGGGAGGAAGAAAAAAAACAAAGAAAUAAAGGAAAGGAAAUAAAUUUACCCGUGUAACAUAUAGAAACCAGGAAGGCUGUUACCUUAGUUUGGUGUCUCCAACUAAAGUCUACUCCUCUGACAUUUGAGCUGGGUUCUACAAGACAAGAGGAGGCAAACAAGUGAAGGGAUGGGAAAGGUAGAGGAAACAGUAGGUGCAAAGGUCCUAGCCAAAGUUGCCAAGUUUAAGGCAGCUAGAGACUGAAGCAUAAUCAGGACGAGGGAGUAGAACAUGGAGUUAAAGAGGCAGGAGGAAGCCAAUUAUGUAAGACAUUUUGAGGUCAUCAUAAGGAGAAUUCUAAAUGGUUGGUAUGAUAUAUGAUUAGACACAAUAGAUUUUCAAGUGGAGAGACACCUGAUUUACCUCUGAAAAGGAUCAUUCUGGUUGCUCUGGGGACCACAUUCUGAAUGGCAGAGCAAGAAUGGAAGCAGGGAGACCAAUUAGGAGGCUACUUCAAGAAUCUAGGAAAGAAAUCAUAGUUCUUUGAACCAAGGUGGAGACGAAAGAGGAUGGUUCCAGUAUUUGUUUAGAGGCAGAAUUGCACCUGGAAUAGCUGUGUUUCCCCUGUUUAUUAUCCCCAUUUGUUUUGUCUUCUGGAUACCUGAUGGAACUGACAGUAUUUCUCUUGGACAUGAGGAAGCUUAGACCUAUGUAUGUGGCCUCCUUCUGGUCUGUAUAUGGAUUAAACAGAAUGCACUUUACACGCUUAA